AUCUUUGCGCUUGGGGCAAUGACGCAACUAAUGAGGUUCUAACCGAGGCACGUCUAUUGCUGGUUGAAAACUAUUUUCAAACAGGGGCGGUUCUAAGGCCCGGCAACCCUGGGCACUCGCCCGGGCUCCGGGCCAAAUUUUUUGCAAUUUCUUGUGUAA
rnacentral:snRNA from 2 species